UACGUAGGGUGCAAGCGUUAAUCGGAAUUACUGGGCGUAAAGCGUGCGCAGGCGGCUUUGCAAGACAGAUGUGAAAUCCCCGGGCUUAACCUGGGAACUGCAUUUGUGACUGCAUGGCUGGAGUACGGCAGAGGGGGAUGGAAUUCCGCGUGUAGCAGUGAAAUGCGUAGAUAUGCGGAGGAACACCGAUGGCGAAGGCAAUCCCCUGGGCCUGCACUGACGCUCAUGCACGAAAGCGUGGGGAGCAAACAGG
rnacentral:rRNA from 1 species